GACGUAGGGCGCGAGCGUUGUCCGGAUUUAUUGGGCGUAAAGAGCUCGUAGGCGGCUUGUCGCGUCGACUGUGAAAACCCGCGGCUCAACCGCGGGCCUGCAGCCGAUACGGGCAGGCUAGAGUUCGGUAGGGAGACUGGAAUUCCUGGUGUAGGCGGUGAAAUGCGCAGAUAUCAAGGAGGAACACCGGUGGCGAAGGCGGGUCUCUGGCCUGACCUGACGCUGAGGAGCGAAAGCGUGG
rnacentral:rRNA from 1 species